GAGCUUGAGUUCUACAUCAGUGAGAAACCUGCGGGUGCGCAAAGAGGUCGUGGUCGCCGCCGUCUCCUCCAAUACCGGCACAAAUGUUUCUUACAACGAGAUAACUAGUCGUUAGAGAGCAGCCAUGGAGGAGCUACUGUCACUAAAGUGGAACAACCAUCGUACCACUUUCAUCCACAUUUUGGGUGUUCUCAGGGAUAAGCAAGCGUAUACGGAUGUCACGCUGGCAUGUGAUGGCAAGUUCUACAGUGUGCACAAGUUGGUGCUUUCAACGUGUAGUGAUUAUUUCUGUGCCAUGUUUGACAAGACAGCUUGUAAGAGCCCAGUUAUAGUGCUAAAAGACAUUAAAUGUGAGGAUCUAGAAGCCUUGCUUGACUAUAUGUACCUUGGUGAAGUGAAUGUGCGACAAUGUGACUUAGCCUCUUUAAUAAAGGCGGCGGAAAACUUGAGAAUUAAGGGCCUUGCUGUACCUGACGAUGAACCUCCUAAUAAAGGCACGGUGGCUGCACCUACUUCACGAAGUGAACCAGUUAGAAGAGAUGGAGGAAGUGGUAGCCCUCCAACAAAAAGAAAACGAAGGGAUGAAGGCGAAGACGGUCGGGAAGACGUUAGACCGCCUCCACCGUCGCAGGGUAGUUUACACACACCUCCACCUCCAUCUAGACCAAAGAGCCCUGUUAGUCAGCGGCUAAGCCCCUCCCCCCAUAGAACAUCUCAGGAGUCCCCCAUUUUGGAAGAUCGUACCAGCCGUCCCCUCUCCUCACCAGUGGAACAACCCCCUCCAGCACCUCGGGCAUCAUCACAACCCCCUGCUCAGUCGUCGUCUUCUCAACCACCAGUCAAUCAGUACACGCCGGAUGAGACUCCAUCUUUUGUAAAGGUGGAGAUGGAGGAAGAACAGCCUGAUGAUAUGCACGGAGACUCUUACGACUUAAGUACGGACGGUUAUAAGGAAGAAGGGGACGAAUCUGGAAGUGGAAUGAAUAGUGAUUUACCUGAGUUCCUACAAGCUGCUGCCUCUGGAGCCUUAGCCAGUAGUACUGCGUCUUAUCCUCACCACUCCUUUGCUGGACCCUCUGGCUAUCAGCCGGGUGACCUGGCUGGCUGGCAGGGUGACGGAGCAUCUUUAGGGUUUCCCGCGCAUCUAAACUUCACCUCAGACAGUUCUAGUCAACAGAAUGCACCCGGGGGCAUGGGGAUAGGUGAUGUCGGUGCUAUGAGAAGUUUGAGUCUUUGUAGACUGAGAGCGGUUGUGAGUUCCCACUGCAAGCGACACUUGUGCCCCUACUGCGGAAAGGGCUUUCAGUCCCCGAAGGACCUCCGGCGACACGUUCUGACUCACACGGGGGAGAAGCCUUUUCUCUGCCCAUACUGUGGUCACAGAGCUAAUCAGAAGAGCAACUUGAAGUCUCAUAUGCUGUGUGUACAUAAUACAGAUAUUUUGUGAAGCUGUCAAGUUCCCUUUAUACAGACACAACAAUACGGCUCAAUUCAUCACCGGUGCCAGAGGGCAUGGGUGUCCGUGAAUUGGAAAGUUUGAGUGACAGUAGACUGAGAGUCAUCUUGGGUUCCAACAGCAAGAGACACUAUUGUCCCCAAUGUGGCAAGAGCUUUCAGUCCCCCAAGGACCUAAGAAGACACAUACUAAC
rnacentral:misc_RNA from 1 species